rnacentral:rRNA from 1 species
GACGAACGCUGGCGGCGUGCUUAACACAUGCAAGUCGAACGGAAAGGCCUCUUUCGGGGGGUACUCGAGUGGCGAACGGGUGAGUAACACGUGAGUAACCUGCCCUUGACUUUGGGAUAACUUCAGGAAACUGGGGCUAAUACCGGAUAGGAGCUCCUGCUGCAUGGUGGGGGUUGGACAGUUUCGGCGGUUGGGGAUGGACUCGCGGCUUAUCAGCUUGUUGGUGGGGUAGUGGCUUACCAAGGCUUUGACGGGUAGCCGGCCUGAGAGGGUGACCGGCCACAUUGAGACUGAGAGACGGCCCAGACUCCUACGGGAGGAAGCAGUGGGGAAUAUUGCACAAGGGGUGGAAGCCGGAUGCAGCAACGCUGUGUGUGGGAUGACGGCCUUCGGGUUGAAAACCGCUUUCGCUCAUGACGAUGCUUUGUGUGACGGUAGUGGGUAAAGAAGCACCGGCUAACUACGUG